AGUGAACGCUGGCGGCGUGCCUAACACAUGCAAGUCGAACGAUGAUUGAGAGCUUGCUCUCAUGAUUAGUGGCGCACGGGUGAGUAUACCAUAGAUAAUGUACCUCUUAGUUCGGGAUAGCCACUGGAAACGGUGAUUAAUACCGGAUACUCCUUCUUGUCUCAAGGCACGUCGGGAAAGUUUUUUCGCUAAGAGAUCAGUCUAUGUCCUAUCAGCUAGUUGGUGAGGUAAUGGCUCACCAAGGCAAUGACGGGUAUCUGGUUUGAGAGGAUGAUCAGACACACUGGAACUGAGACACGGUCCAGACUCCUACGGGAGGCAGCAGUGAGGAAUAUUGCACAAUGGAGGAAACUCUGACGCAGCAACGCCGCGUGGAGGAUGACGCAUUUCGGUGUGUAAACUCCUUUUAAGAGGGAAGAUAAUGACGGUACCUCUUGAAUAAGCACCGGCUAACUCCGUGCCAGCCGCCGCAGUAA
rnacentral:rRNA from 1 species